rnacentral:rRNA from 1 species
GUGGGGAAUUUUGGACAAUGGGCGCAAGCCUGAUCCAGCCAUUCCGCGUGCAGGAUGAAGGCCUUCGGGUUGUAAACUGCUUUUGUACGGAACGAAAAGCCUCUGGUUAAUACCCGGGGGUCAUGACGGUACCGUAAGAAUAAGCACCGGCUAACUACGUGCCAGCAGCCGCGGUAAUACGUAGGGUGCGAGCGUUAAUCGGAAUUACUGGGCGUAAAGCGUGCGCAGGCGGUGAUGUAAGACAGUUGUGAAAUCCCCGGGCUCAACCUGGGAACUGCAUCUGUGACUGCAUUGCUGGAGUGCGGCAGAGGGGGAUGGAAUUCCGCGUGUAGCAGUGAAAUGCGUAGAUAUGCGGAGGAACACCGAUGGCGAAGGCAAUCCCCUGGGCCUGCACUGACGCUCAUGCACGAAAGCGUGGGGAGCAAACAGGAUUAGAUACCCUGGUAGUCC